rnacentral:rRNA from 1 species
GACAGAGGUGCCGAGCGUUAGGCGGAAUCACUGGGCUUAAAGCGUGUGUAGGCGGAUCGUUAAGUGCCUUGUGAAAUCCCACGGCUCAACCGUGGAACUGCUUGGCAUACUGGCGAUCUUGAGCCACUUAGGGGCUACCGGAACAAAUGGUGGAGCGGUGAAAUGCGUAGAUAUCAUUUGGAACGCCAAUGGUGAAAACAGGUAGCUGGGAGUGUGCUGACGCUGAGA